UACGGAGGGCGCAAGCGUUAUCCGGAUUCACUGGGUUUAAAGGGUGCGUAGGUGGGUUGGUAAGUCAGUGGUGAAAUCUCCGGGCUUAACCUGGAAACUGCCAUUGAUACUAUCAAUCUUGAAUACCUUGGAGGUGAGCGGAAUAUGUCAUGUAGCGGUGAAAUGCUUAGAUAUGACAUAGAACACCAAUUGCGAAGGCAGCUCACUACACGGUCAUUGACACUGAGGCACGAAAGCGUGGGGAUCAAACAGG
rnacentral:rRNA from 1 species